UCGAACGCUUUCAGGGGCUUCGGUCUCUGAGGGAGUGGCGCACGGGUGAGUAGCGCGUGGGAACCUGCCCUCUUGUGGGGGAUAACCGCGGGAAACUGCGGCUAAUACCGCAUAAGCCGGGUGUCUUGAGAGAGGCAUUCGGGAAAGAUUUAUCGCGAGAGGAGGGGCCCGCGUCGGAUUAGCUAGUUGGUGGGGUAACGGCCUACCAAGGCGGUGAUCCGUAGCUGGUCUGAGAGGAUGAUCAGCCACACUGGGACUGAGACACGGCCCAGACUCCUACGGGAGGCAGCAGUGGGGAAUAUUGGACAAUGGGCGCAAGCCUGAUCCAGCAAUGCCGCGUGAGUGAGGAAGGCCUUAGGGUUGUAAAGCUCUUUCACCCACGACGAUGAUGACGGUAGUGGGAGAAGAAGCCCCGGCUAACUUCGUGCCAGCAGCCGCGGUAAUACGAAGGGGGCGAGCGUUGUUCGGAAUUACUGGGCGUAAAGGGCGCGCAGGCGGCCC
rnacentral:rRNA from 1 species